UCACAAAGGAAUCCACUGGAAGAUUUGAAGAGAAACUACAAAGGACUUCAUUAAUAUAAAAGGGAAGAUUAGUCAGAGAACAAAAGAAUAAGGAAGGAGGCAGGGAAUGGAGAGAGGGAAGGAAUUAUAAUAAUGUGAGACAGGGAGACUGGCGGGUAAAAACUAGGGAGGAAUUAAAACAAAGACUCCUCAACUUUCUAGAUCCACAAGAUCAUCCUGGAUAUCCCCCUAUGUGACAAGAUGAAGACGAAGUGUGAGUGACAGGGAAAUUCCAGUUUUAAAUGUAAACGUUUUUAAAAUGUAACAACAAUUAAAUUUCUCCUGAGGUCUGGGUUAGCAGAGCCAUAAGCACAGUGUGUUAGGGUUGAUUGGGGAAAUUUGAUAGUACUCUUUCUUUUGCUUUCUCAGCUUAUAUUCACCAGUAAAGAUUUGAAACUACCUUUGUCAACUCUCAUUCUGCCCUCAUUAGAAAGUAGGGUUUAUAUUAUCUAUAAAAAAAUUGGUAAAAAGCUUCUAGAGAGUGCACAUGUAUCCAAUGGCUUUUUGUUUUCUUAGGGAUUUUUAAAAUACAGCUGCCGCCUUCCCUCUCCCCAACAACAUAAAAUGAAUCCUCUGCAUUCCCUCCACUGCUUAUUGGGUCUCUGUACUUGCACAUUCUCUGGGAGAGGAACAGCACAUUGAAUCCGGUCAGCAUGUGUAUGUAAAUCGUCUUGGAGAAAAAAAAUUCAUUUAUUCAGGCAGCUAGCUAUUUUGUACACAACUGGUUGACCUCAGUAAUUGUGUGUACGUGUGUGUGUGUGGGGGGGGUGGUGGUGGUGGUACAAACAGCUUUGUAUGAAACUGCCUACUCAACUUUGGGACAAGAUCUAUGACUCUCAAAACUGAGCACUUAGAGUUUUUGUUGUUGUUACACAUCUUUUCCCUUCUUUGUAAUAUUAUCUGUUUUUGGUAUCUAGAGAGAGGCUUUGUUACACCUCUAUGUUGGGUUUUGGAGGGAAAGGAAGGGUCCAACUGUAAAAUAUAUAAUAAAUGUGUGCAAACAAACACUAGGCCUAACACUUGUUCUCCUAAGUGAAGUUCAUAAAGGUUGGGUCUUGCACAGUCCUUUGAACCAAUUCCCAUUCCUCCUUGGAGAUAUAGGAUGCUGAAAAUAAAGGGUUUCUUAUAUACAGUUUUGGAAACUGGUCAAGGAUUCUGGGAUGUGAACAAUAGCAUUCUUCAAGAGCCCUUACUGUGUAGUAGCAGGAGGGAAAAGGAGGGGUGCUAAGUGAUGGCAGAACCUGGCAUCUUUGACCCCAAGCAUUACAGCACUUGAGCCAUAAAGGAAGAAUACAAUGGGGGUCACUGGUCUGUCUGUCUGUUCUGAUCUUGGAGUAGGUUGACCUUUCUCAGUCAAACACAUUUCUAGGCUGUGGAGUGCUUGGCUUGCAUCUUCUAGAUAAGCUGUGGGCAUUUUGCAAGGCUAGAUUUUCCCUUUGUACCUUCCUGUCCAGUGUGUCUUGCUGUGCCUACUUCCUUUGCCCUACUGUUCAGUGUCGGGGUGUACGGGUGUUUUUAAUUGAAUUCUCUGAAAUGCAUUUCUGACACUGAUUUGGUUACAUUAUAUUCUAUUCUGUUAUCAAACAAAUCUGCUGUCAAACAAAAGAUCAAUGUUAUUGUAAUGUCCUACUUGAUGGAUUAAAUAGGGUGUUAUUCAACUCUUAUUAAACAAUCAAGAAAAACACACUGGGACAUGCUUUCACUCGCAGCUGCUAACAAAUACAUUGCAUGUGAUCUGUGAUUAAGAAACAAAGCAGGAGCAGUUAUUUUCAGAUUAAUUAAACAAACAAGUAGGAUUUAGGGACCAGGAUUUUUAAAACCCAGUACAAUUCUUUGAAACAUGUUUGGAAAAGGACAUAAUUUACUUUAACUACAUGAGUGAACACUUAAGAAUAUAAAAUCUUUCAGUGACGCAAUUGUGGAUUAAUUGCCCGGAACUAUCGCAGCGCCAUAAACAAAACCGUUCUAGGGAUGGACCUUUCAGGGGAGUUUUUUUUCCUUGUGAGUAAAUGUCCAUUUAGAGAGCUUUUCUAAAUUUAGAAGCAAUGUUCAUCAAUCAUGUAUAAUAAGCGCCAAGUAACUCCACUCUGCUGCCUGCCCGCGAUGCACCCCCCCUUUGUGGAGAGCGCACCCCUCAGUGCUUGCCUUGCUAGACUGGCAUUCACUCCAUUACCAGGGCCUGACCUUUGUGUUUCUCAGACUUUGCUCUCAAGAUGCUCAGAGAAAGCAAAUAUUAAAUCUCUCUCUUAUCUCAGCCUGCCUGGCUCUAUAUUAUCUUUAAGCCCCCUACCCCCACCCCCAUCUCCCAGCUUUACAUACAGUUGGCUACAUUUUGGCUCCUUCUGUCUGAUGCUGUUUCCGCUAAUGGCUGAAGAAAUGGAACAUUACACCAUUUAACGUGUGUGGGUCACAUUAAUCACAGAAAAUUCUUUUAAUGUCUCAGAAGUAACUGUCAAACUGGACAUACUGAAUCUAUUUAAACUAAAGCAUGCCAUUUUUUAUCUACAGUGAUCUUUAAUUCCCAUAAAAGGGUCAAGAAAAUGUGAUUAAGUGACAGUUUUAAAAUGUACUAUAAUAUUAAAUAGCUUGAUUAAGUGACAACUAUAAAAUGUAAUACAAUAUUAAGUAUCUGGCUAUGUCCCAAAAGAACUUUAAAGUAUUUUUGAACGGUUUGGGAAUUCACUAACCCAUAAUGGGUUACUAAGGAAUUUUUUUUUUUUUUUUGGUGGGGACAUAAAAAUAGUUGAACUUAAAACACACACUAAAAGAAAAACAACAACAACAAAAGCUUGCAGCAUUUACAGAUAAUUUAGAAUUGUAUUCUCUUUUUGGAGCACCAAGGACUUUUGGCAAUAAGGAAUGAUCAUUUUAGGAUUCUGAAUUUACCAGUGCUUGACUGGAAUUGUAAUGCCUGUAACACAAAGAAUGAAAUCAAAAGUAAUUGUGGCAGUGAGACCUCACAGCAGGUUGGAAAGGCCAUGAGCUAGUCAGUGAUCUCUCAGGUUACCUCCAACGGGGCUGAUCAUCACUCCUCAGGUGCCCAGCUUACCCUGUAUAUUAUAUCUUGGCUCCUAUGGGGAGUGCAGUAGGAAAUGCUAGCAUGGGUGAACUUAAGUCCUCCAGCUAGCCAGUUCCCUCCAGUAGAGUAAACCAGUGGAGAUCCUGAAAUAUAAGAUGGGGCCCAUACAAAGAUCCUGGCUGUGCCUGGACUUUAAUGGAGGAACUAUCAGGGGGCUGAGGGUAGAAGGAGACAGUUCUAUGCAAUGCCUAGGAUAAAUGUCUGGGCCAGAUGCCCAGGCCAAAUGAGUAAAGAAGUUUUGUCAUUAUUCAGACAUUUCAGUAACUCUCGGGCCCUAAAUAUUUGGUCAUCUUAGCCUGGGUUCCUCUAGAAAGCAAAACUUGAGGCAAAGGCUUUUGUGCUAUGAUGCUAUUAGGGGAUUCAACCCUGGGUAGCAGGAAGCGAAAGGAGAGUGAGGCAGAGAAAGCCAAUAUGAGGAUGUCUUACACUGUUGACUGCUACUGAUUGCUUGAUUUUGAUCUUGGUCUUGUGGGACUGUCCUCUCAGAAACCAUCUAAAACUGCAUAACCAUAUAGUCCAUCUGGGAAGAAAAAGAAGAAAGACUUAUCUGCCACCUCCCAUCUCUCAUGGGUCAAAUGUUUUCUCUAUUGUACCUCAACUCCUAACUCCUGGUUGCGUUUCAGUGGGUGCAUGGUAGGCUCUUGAGGCAUCCUUCACCUCUGUAAGCAAUAGGGAAUUCCAAGGCAGGAGUAAGGUAGGUCAGGUGGAACCUGCGUGAUGUCAUUUGGAGCUCAUGUGGUCACUGCAGUGGUGUCUGGAACAAGAAGAGUCUGAGAGAAUCUGAAGUGGCACGUAAGAGGAUCCCUAUCCAGGUCAGAAUCCGAUAGCGGAACCCUGCAGGUAAUCAGAUUCAUCAGAACAUUUCCAUAUGUCCCUGCUGAGAGGAUGUCAAUUGAAUUUUGAAGUGUCUUCCUGGCUUUUGUCCCAAGCAUAAGCUUCUCUCCACCCCCAGGGAGAUUGUGGGGCUGGGUACCAUAGUUAAGUACACUCUGCUUCUCUAAAAUUGUAAAGUAGAAAUUAAGUUUUGGUGAUGUUUAGCAAGUGGCUAUGCCUAAAAUUGUGGACAUGGGCCACAUGCCCCUUAAGAGCCUCCUCAUGUCCCAUAGAGAAAAGGGUUGAUUCUUUCAAGGACACCCUUCAAGAGAAAGAUGGGAAGCUGUGCUAGAUAUCACUACAGGUCCCACAGUGACAGAGACAAAUGGCCAUGGCACACUUAUUUAGGCUCACUCUUUCUCAGGGUGAUGAUGAAACUUCAUCUGGAAGAUUUGCUCAUCUGUCUAAUAAAUCACUGAGGAAAGUUUCCCUGAUAUUUACUCAAGACUUUCUUUCCCGUCUUCAUUUCCUUCCAUUUCUCCGGUUGCUCACCCUCAUACCAGGCUACAUAAAUCUCUUCUCCUUCUUCUGCCCCUUUGUCAACCAUUGGCCUCCUCCCCCUCUGUCAUUGUUUCGCCAGACCAUAGAUGUAACUCUUCUAAUCUUCCCUGAUAAAUCAGGCUCUUGGAAUCACUCCUUGUUGCUCCCUCAAGCUCCCUGGAGCUGGGAUAUAGGGCUCUGAGUGCCUGGUGCAGACGUUUCUUUUAUAAUGGGCCCUGAAAGGUUGUCAGCUGCAGAUAAUUAGGAUCUCACUUCCCGCCAUCGAGCUGCAUAUAUCUUCCAUGCAAAGAACCCCCAUCACCUUCAAAAGAAUUAACACAUGCAGAGGAGAUAUAUGAGGGGGCUGGGUGACCGGAGGAUGGGGCCAUCUCUUCGGAAAGCCAGAACUGCUUCAUGUUUCCUGUGAGAGAGAAGCACUUUCUCUCAGGAGAACCUGACCCUUCUCACAUUAUUUGAUGGUAAAAAUCUCAUGCCGUGAGCCUGGAUUGUGCAACACCAAGUAGUGAGGAGAAUAUUUUUGAAAGAAAGUUAUUUUGUAUAUAAUUGUGCUGUGUCUUUAUGCUUUAAUCUACUCUCUCUUCCUGUUGAACUAAAAUUUAGUCUGGUGAAGAAAACUCAAGUAUAUUUUGUGUGUGGUUUUUAUGUGCUAACUCUGAUGAUAACUGGCCCACAUCACUGUUAGACACACUGUUCAGUUUUUCUUUAAUGGUGGCUGAGAAAUAUGAGAGCUGUAGCUUCAGGAAAACCAGGGGGGCUGUCAAAUGGAUAUUGUAUCAGAACACAGUGUUGGCCCUAAAUGCAGCCUGGCACAGAGAAAAUUCUUCUCAGGCAAAUGAUCUGUGAGACUUCAGGGCCUGCCAUGGUAUGGAGGUGGGCAUAUUAACCAGAGGGGAGGGAGUAAUCAAAUAGGAUGGGCCCAAGACCCUCUCCCCACACUUCUAUCAGAGCAGAUUUAUUUUUGUCCAUACUACAUAUUCAGAUUCCAUGUAAGAUUUUGUAUUUUUAAAAAGAUGUAAUCAGUUUUCAAAUUUAAUUCCAUCACUUUGUACGUGAGGAAGGAGCCCCAAGAUGUUAAGGCCACAUGGCCUGUUAGUGCUGUUAGCAAAAGGGAGAAUACAGGGUCCCCAAUCCCUGGGUUUUUUCAUCUUUCCCUACCACUGUCCUGCAUCAUAAUCUUCAUAAUGUUCUUAAGUAUUGUAGUGGGAUCAUUAGGAAAUAGACAGGCCUAUAUAUUCCUAGGUGAAUGCUGAUGAUAAAGUACUAUUGGUGGUCUGAGAUGCUUUCACUGACCUGUGCAUUUGGAGUGAUUUUUCUGGUGGUGGGGACAGAUGUGCACUGAGUCACCCUCACAAUUGCCAUCAUCUGAGAUGAUUGGUGAAUCUCAGAGGUGUGAUCUUUGACCGUGAAUCUCAGCAAAGGGAACUGAUGCCUUGAGAGAGAAGGCACAACUUGGCCUAAACCUCUUCAGAGUCACUGCUAGAGCUAACUGUAGAAUUUUAGAGCUACACUGGAUCUCAGCCAUCCCCCAGCCCAAUCCACUCCUUUUAAAGGGGAGGACAUUGAGGCCCAGAAAAGCCAAGUGGUCUUCCCACACAAAAGAGGAGGGGGUUCAGGACUGGUAAGCAAUUGACAUUGAUUCUUGUUUCUUGCCUAGAGCGAACUGGAUCUUAAUUUGUCUGUUGUCUUUCUUCUCUUUCCACCGGGACCUGUCCAAGACAGUAAUGUGAGCAAAAGGUGUCUGCUCUGCAGACUAAAACUCCCUUUGGGCCAGCUAUUCCAAGGUCUAGAUGGGAGAGAGAAAGGGACAUCCAGGAAGUUACCAGGUCUACUUGCUUCUCAGCCCAGUCUGUGCCCUUCCAUGGAUCUUACGCAUAUAAAGAUGGUGGUUCAGCCUCAACAUGUUAACUCGUUUUUCUUAUUUGAUUCAGAACCUGGGUGAGGAAGAGUCUCAACAUCCUACUUUCUGGAACUUAUAUUGCCAGCAGUCUGCUGGCUGGCACCUCCAUGAAUCUAAACUAACUUCCCUGUGGAGAAUGGAGCCAGUUGGAAUCAUUCUUAAUAAGAAGCCCAGUGGUUGGCAUCAUUUGUUGAAAUGGGUGAAGACCAAAGUUAUAGUGGGUUUUGACUGAGAUUCCUUUUCUAAGCAGGGUUUUUAAAAAACAUUUCUUAAGAGCAAAACUUGAAACAAAUGGGAGGCCUUGUUCCCACCAGGACUUAAAAUACCAACAUAUGUAUCAAAGAAUCUAUUCAAUUUGAUAAGUCAGUUCAAAGUGACCAGGAAAUAACAACAAGAAGCCAGGCAUGGAAACCGGCGUUUGGUGUUUGGAGAACAUUAAAUACCAUCUGUACAUGGAUUGUUCUCCAAAAUCCUCAAGUUCUAAAACAUUUCUCCGCCCCUUCUGUUUUUUCUUUCAUCAAACAUUCAUUUAUUUUUAGAGAUUCAGAGGGCUUUCUCUGAUUAGGGAAAGGUGUCACAUAAUAAAAGCAAAAAAGGAGUCUGCAUAGCAAGAAAGCAUCUUGGCUAAAGUUUGGAUGGGCAAGGGAGGGAAGCUCUGGAGAGGGUGAGAGAAGACAGCAGUUAAUUAGGUUGAAGCUAUCUCUGAGAAAGCCACAGUGCUGUGGCAAGAAAGUAACUUAUUAUUGAGAAAGGCAAUGGUUUUAAAUAAGUUUCCUCCACUGGAAGGAUACUAACAACACCUACCUCACUGAGUUGAUGUCAGGGUAACAUGAGGUAAUUAUGGUUAACACUUUAUGAACUGGAAAAUGCUACGAAAACAUAACAUAGGAUUAGGAGAAGUUCAAAACCCUAAAGACAUCACAGCUUCCUGCAGGAGUGGAUAAUAGAUAUUGGUAUGUUGUAGGGUAUUCUAUGAACUGAUACGCCAGAGUUCUCUUGGUCUGCUUUCCUAUUUAUAACUCCAUAGAAAACACAAAGCAUGAAUACACCUUACUCAGAGGUAGGUGCCACCUCUGAGUGGCUUUUAUCUAAAAAAGUAAACUUAAGAAAAGCAAACAAUGUAUCUCACUCAUUUCAUUGUGCCCAGCCUUCUACCAUCCUGAGUGUCUCCUUAGGCCCCUGAAGAUGGGAAGAGCUCCCUGUAAAUGGAAAUGGCAGAAGGUUGCCAGGACCUGCCUCACUGAGGUUUCUGCCCAGCCAAGGAUAACAAGAAAGCAGGCACCAUCUGCAGCUAAAGCAUGAUUUGCCUCUCAUGACCCCUAAAGGGAACUGUUCUGUGAUUCUCCUUAAGUAGCAUGAUCUGUGUGGCUUGAUUCUGACAUCUACAGCAGCUGGAAAGACCUCAUACACAACUGCAGCAGGGAGGGAGCCAGAAGUGGGUCAGAACUUUGGCAGGACUAGUUGAGGCUCCAGAUCCAGAGGCCCUGCUUCCUGGUCCACCAGCAGAGACUUCUCAAGGCCGGAGCCCCUAGGGGUUUUCUGUUCUGUCCAUUUCUUCAUCCAGAGGAAGAUGCUUAGAUUGCAUUCUUCCCAUAGGCUGACUCCUUAGGUUCUGCAGCAUUCUGUGAGCAGCUGUGGUUGUCCCAGAGGGUGAGAGUUGAACAUAGGCCUCAAGUGAAAGAUAACAUUGGAGCCUGGUUGCUUACUACUCAGAAUGUAAUUUACAAAAGCGAUCUCUGUAAAAAGCAAUAAAGAAGCCCUUUCUGUUCUUUCAAGAGUGCUUCACAAAUGUCUAUGUGGUGAUGUGUAAUGAGUCGAACCGCUCUGUUAUACAUGCAGCAAUUUGGAGUAGCCAUUGGCCCAGUAAGGAAGAUGCUUUCUGCUACUACCCAGCUCUCAGCCCAGAGUUACUCAGUCUAGUCGUGUGGAAGGAAAUUUGCAUUUAUGGUGCACAUUUCCCGUGAUCAUAGAACGUGUCUUCUAGAAAGAUGGCUGGAUUUCAUUGCUUGCAUUUACUAUUUCAGGGGCCAAGAAGCUCCCCUAGGGUAGAGCCACCAUACAGUCUUGAGGUAUUGAUUUCAUUUAUUUGUUUGUUUAUUUAUUCAUCAGUUCAUUUAAAUACUUACUAUUUGCUGGGUAUUAUGCAAGGCACUGAUACAACAGACAAUUCUAGAGUGAAGGCAGUAAAUCAGAAUUUGUGUGCUUCUUUCUCCACUGAUCAGCAUCUUGUUUCUGGAUAGGUUCCUUCAGUUCUUUGGAACUCAUUCUUCCUACUGGCAGAUUUAGGGAACUAAAUCUGGCAGACUAGGGAACUUCCAAGAUUUCUUUACUUCCGAACACUUCUGAACUUAUAAUUUAACCAUUACAGUGUACCUAACUCUUGAGCUCUGGGAUGUAUAUGUUCAGAGGGAACAUGGUAGAUAUAGAAGGAAGUAGAAGGAAGGGUCCCUAUCUUUGAGAACUGAAAAUUCAAAAUGUCCAUACAUGACAUCAUUGGAGAACAUUACAAUUCAGCUUCUAACCCCAGGGGAAGUCAAAUAGUAUGUCUUCCUGUGGGAGAGGCAAAGAUGGUAAGAUAUGAACUAAGGAGAAAGGAAUGGUGAGGGUUGGAUUGGUGGAAAGGGAAGGGGAACAAAUUCAGCAAGUGUGUAACCUCAGAAGCAUGAAGUUUCCUAAUUUCAUACCCCUCGUAGUCCAGAGUCCUUUUUUCCUGUCACAUCAUCACAUCAUCAGACAUAUCUGGGAGUUGGUGAGCCAUCUGUUUCUGAGUACUGUUGCCAGGUUUAGCAAAUAAAAAUAUAGGUGCUCAGUGAAAUUCGAAUUUCAGACCAACAACACGAUUUUUAAUACAAUUUCCCAAAUAUUGCAUGGGAUAUACCUGUACUUAAAAAUUAUGCAUUUUUUCAUCUGAAAUUCACAUUUUAGGUGGGCGUCGUGUAUUUUAUCUGGCAAGUCUGUGCUAUGGGGAGUCAGAAUCUGGGCAUGCGCACAAGCACUGAGGGAAAAGCAGCCUCUGUUGCUCCUACCAUUUUGGCAGUUCCUAUCUCUUUGAGCACUGCCUCACUCAGAAUUCUUAAAUAAAGUUCUCUCUGGCCAGAGAGCAGACAGAACACAGCUUCUCUUCCUUCUGCUGCCCACCCUCUUUUCAGGCAAAAGUUGAAAGCAGAGAAGCCCUUGGAAUUUUAUGCUCUCAUGAGUCUGCUUUCACCAGGAUUAACAGACAGCAUCUUGCAGAAUUAGAUCCCUCCAGAUCUCCCUUCCCCAAGGCCUUGGAGUCUCCUGGACACAUAUGAAAUCUGUCUGCUCUUCUCUUGCCUCACUCUUAUUCUGUAGCUCAACAUUAAGAGCGAAAGCAGGUGAAGGAGUAUCUUUCUGCCUGUGGUAGGGAUGGACUGAGAUAUUUGUUGUUGUUGUUGUUAAUCAUUUUCUUAAAUAAAAAGAGCCCCUAGCUUCCUGUCCUCCUAUCCCUGCACAUCAGGUCAUCAGGUUGGGGUGAGAUUUAUUUCCCAAUCUCUUUGUGUAUGUAUCUUGGUCCUCACCUCCAUGUUCUUGAGUCCAUUGCCUGGAUGAAUUUGUUUGCUUAUUAGGUGGGCUAUUCCCAAGGACACCUGCAAUCUUGAGGCUGAUUGGGCAACCCAAGCAGUAAAAUCCCUGUUUAUAUCCUCUUCUGCAUGGUGCAAGCUAAAGGAUUCCUUUGGGACCUAAGAUAAUAUCUGAGCUUGCUUUAUUUCAAUGAUGAGGAGGCUCUCAUGGACAGACAAGCUCCAUUCAUUAACUUAUUCCUUCAACAUAUUUUCAGUGCCUACUUUGUGCCAUAGCAAAUGGCUUCAAAAUGAAACUCUGUCCAUGAUUGCUCAGGAGGUACACAAUUCAAACCUAUAUAUAAUCUAUCUUGCUAUUGGGUAUGAUGGGUUGUGGCCCAUUUAUUGCAAUCAGGGCAACCUGGAAGAAGCCAUGACUAAACUUUGGCCUGCCUACUAGAAUGGACCAAGUGGUAGGAACUCCAGGUUGGUAGGUAAACUAUGGUAUCAGAAGAGCAAGGUAAUAGCAGUGAGUGAUAUGAUAAGGUAUCAAGUGGAGAAGGACCUAUAAUCCAGGGAAGUCUUUUAGCAAGUAGGCCCCAGCUGUAGACUCAGGUUCAGAAAUAGGACCUCUGCUGACAGGAAGAAGAGAAGCCAUCAGGGGUGGGCAGGGCAUAAUGGGCCUGAGGAACAACUUUAGACAGAGGCCCAGUUAUCUGACAUAGGAUAUAGAGGGGACUGGGUCUCAGAAAUAAGGAAAAUACCCCACCUUAGCAACACAAGUUAAGAACCAUAGUAGAAGUGAGAAAUUUGGGGUAAUCAUUCUUGAGUUAGAACUGCAUAAACUGAUCUUUUCCAAGAUCAAAAUUGUUCCUGUGUGUUCCAUUAAGCUGAGGCUGCAGGUGUGGGUUAAGUUGCUUAACAAGGGGCCAGGUGUGUAGGUGGGUCCUGGACAGGACCUGCCAUUACUAUCAGCUCCUCAUAGGUUUCUAUGAUCACAGAAAUUUAGUGAGUAUUUCAGGCAUUGAAAAUUAUUUCCACCAGGUGAAUCAGUCUAAGCAGACUGGAUUCCUGGAAAACCUACAAAGCAGCAAACUUAAAACUUCAUUCAGAUUAGAUAAGUGGAUAGAUAGUUCCUCUUUACAGCCUUUAGAAGGCUCUUUUUCUGUAAACAGGAACUUAGCUUGGUCCCCCAGUAAAGGAAGAAAACUAGGAAAUGACCUUAGAGGAAACCAUUGAAGCCUGAUGCAGAUUGAGUUAGGUGAGUUAUCAUAUAGAUAGGAUAGGUGUUUGCCAACCUGGAGAGGGUCCUGCUCUCCCCAGAAUACAAUGGUCUUUGCACAGUAAGGGCUGGCCAGAAAAACUUGCCACAGUGACAGGUCCACAGAAGAGUACAGGGAAGAUGCUCUGGUCACAGGCCUGUGGCCAGACAGGCAAGGCCCUCGAGUAGCAAUGAAGCAAAGUGCCAGCAGGUGCUUCUCCCGUCUGAGCUCCUGGGGUCAUAAUGGGAAGAAGCCAGCUGUGUCUCUCAUGAUGAGUGACUAUUCUCAAGCUCUCCAGAGCACAGAGGCAUCCAAGCACAAAGAUCAGUCUACGGUUGAGUGCAGGUAAGGCAGAAAUGCCGGGUUCCCAGCAGUAGCUUGAAUGGCUGGAUGAAAGAUGCAAAGGAAGACAGCAGAAGUGCACAUUGCCCAGAGAGUGUGAGGGGCCAGUGGUGCUGGAGGAAGCUCCACAGUCUUCAGAGGCCAUUGAUAGCAAGAGUGUUUGUCAUCAUCUUUACAGAGAAAGCAAGGAUUUAUGGAAGCACCUGGUCUUCCUGGGCCUUGCUCUGCCUACUCUGUCCUCCGAAAGUCCCACAGUAAGCCCUGGGUCAAAAGAGGAUCUCAGCUAUUAUGUGCUCUCAGAACUUGGAGGAAUAUUUUUUAAGGUCCCUAAAUAGAUACUUAUAAGUGAGGCUUCCCUUUGGGGCUGUGUAUUACAAUUUACCUGGUUUAUAAAGAUUAUAAAAAAUGUAUCUUAAGUGUUCUAUAUAGUGAUCCACAUCCUAGGCCAAGCAGCUGUACCAGGUCAACACCCUGCUUGGCCCACCCCAUGCUGAUGACUGGGUUCUGACACUCUGGGAUUAUGAGGUAAUAGAAUUUUCGGUGUAAAAUUCUGGAAGUGAGGGACACAGUUCUUUAUCUUCUGGUGCUGGACUGGAAGGAGUUAAUGCAAUGUCAGAAGAUACUUAGACUGGGAGAGGAUGAUAAUGAUCCUUAACACUUGCCUGAAACGUUUGACUUUUCAAAUAUAUGAUGACACCUAUUAUUUCUGCUUGAUUCUCAACAAUUCCAUGGAGAAAGUGUGGUCACUAUUAUUAUCUUUUGAGUGAGGAAACUGAAGCUCAGAGGGGUUGAGUGACUUUCCUGAGGCCACACAGCUAGGGCUCAGGUGAGCCAAAACAGUUCAGUGUUCUUCUUAGCAGACCAGGAAGGCUCCUACAAGCAAGGGCGCGUUCCAGGCUCCUGGUGGGUUGCUUGUUCACAUUGUUCUUCACAUUCUCCCCCAUGGUCAUUGGAAUAUACAAAUAGGGUUGUUGACCUCGUGUUCUGGAUUGAAACGUCUAGAGCUGGUCUCCCCAAGGAUUUUGUUUUUUUGAGCCUCUUCACUGUUUUUCAUCUCAUUCACAGCUUUAAUCCUGGGCAAGAAGCUGAAAAUUUUUCAUUCAGACUCUUACUCUGUGUAAGGUACUGAUUAGUUCUUUACUAAUUCUUACUCCUUUGAUAGGAGUCUUUCCUCCUCCUCAUGAUAAUCCUAUGAAGGAAAAACUAUUAUCGUCUACUUUUUAUGAGUUUAAACGAAGACCAGAGACAGUAAGCAGUUGCCUCAGAUCCCACAGCCAGGAGGUGGCAGAAAUGGGAUUCAGUUUAAGUUGGCAGGCUUGAGUUGUCUUAAUCACUACACUGUGUCACUUCUUUUAAUCUACGUUCGUGAUUCUCAAACCAUAGUGUACAACAUGAUCUCUAGAGGAUGUGUUAAAACCUAGAUUUCUCUGCAGCACCAGGGUGGCUCAGUCAAUUAAGCAUCUGACUCUAUUUUAGCUCAUGUCAUGAUCUCAU